UUUCACAGCCGAGUAUGUAGAGUCAUAUCUAGUGACCGUGUCAGCUGCUGGGUCAGGGUUUUUGUCUGCUAUCAUAUAGGUUUGUUAUGGCUAUACUUAAAGAGUUUUGUUUCAUUUUGUGUUUAUAGAUGCACCCAACACUAUUAUGAAGUAUUUAUUAGUCAAAGUAAUAAUAACAAUAACUACCGUUUACAUAGAGCAUGAAAUGGGCACAAUGAGCUAGGAACUUUACCUAAUCUUUUUAACAUCCUUGAGAGGCAGAUUCUAUUAUCUUCAUUUUUCAGAAGAGGAAAUUGAGACUUAAUGUCAUAUGGCCCUUAAUUAGAUAAACUUUAGGAAGUCUUCAACCUUCCAGUAGUUUUUGGCAACUAUUCAUCUCUGAACAGACUCCAGAACAUUAGUGAAUGCUGUCCCAUUUUAUCCUCACUGAGCAAAAUCUAGGGCACUAAUUACAAAGAUAUUUAUCUUACAACAUUAAGAUUUUGUUGUAAGCUGUCAUUUACGUUAAGCAGCAAAGCCAUUAGACUUAAUUUACCUAAACUCUUCCCCUAUAGCAUUCUUCCUCUAUAACAUUCAUGGUCUGCUAAGGUUGCUAUAAGCAAAGCAAAGUAUAAAAUAGCACACAAGUUCCUGUUUGACAAGUGAAAUACCAGUUUCUUAUCUCUCCCCAGGGACCUCUUAUAACGAGAAAUUGGCCUUGUGAGUUUUGAAACUUUUCCAUUCACAACCCUGUAUGUCUUUUUCUUCACAGAAUUGGAAAAAAUUACUUUAAAGUUCAUAUGGAACGAAAAAAGAGCCCACAUUUCCAAGACAAUCUUAAGCCAAAAGAACAAAGCUGGAGGCAUCACACUACCCAACUUCAAACUAUACUACAAGGCUACAGUAACCAAAACAGCAUGGUAAUGGUACCAAAACAGAGAUACAGACCAAUGAAACGGAACAGAGCCCUCAGAUAUAGUACCAAAAAACAUAUAAAUCAGAGGGAAAGGAAUAGUACACAGGUAAAAGCACAAAUUAAUGAAAUAAAAACAACUGUCAUAAUUUAAUAGAAAAGGAAUACAAAAAGGGUUAAGAAACAAAUUUGUUUCUACGUAAAAAUAAGGAAGUCU
rnacentral:lncRNA from 1 species